AUAGUCUGUGUCAUUUCAAAACUUUUCAAAACCAAAACAAACAUUUUGCUCAUAACUGGAUUAUAUCUUUAUUUAUCUAAAUACGAGAUUUCAAAGCUCCAAAUGGCUUUCAAGUGGACUUUAAAAAAAGUUGUACCCCUAACCAACGGCAUUCUACUUGUCCUGUUUUAGUUUGGUUCCAAAACUAUCGAAAUGUCUCGCAACGCACUGCCGUCGUUGAGUCAGCUGGAAGAGCUAGUAAGCUUUUUGGAAAACAAACUAUGUUUGAUUAUGAUAGGCCCAUGAUCGUACUGCAAAUGCGAGCAGUCAUCAGGCACGAUCCGAAAACAACAGCCCCAAACAGUGACGUAGUGGGUGUAUGAAAAUAUUGGAGCAGUGGUGUAAGUACUGGAAGGACAAAAAGGAGCAGUUCAGAGGAAGUCCAGUUCUAUUGCAGCUGCGAGGCAACAUGAAGAAUUUGCCAGAACUCGGUGUAAUUGAGUUAAAAAUACAUUCCAUUAUGCGAGGAGAAUGUUUUGGAAUCUGAAUUUAGAUAAAUAAAUCCAUAUUCAUUAUAAAAUACAAAAUAAUAAAAAGACAUGUUGAAUUAAAA